UUGCAGCCAAUUAAGCUGACCAAGUAGGUCCCUUUCCCCCAUGGGCUUGACGUGCACUGAUCACAGAUUGCAGCUACCUUGGGACUGUAUGCAGCUUGGUGCCUACGUAGGCUGCACAGAGGGACCUUGGAGACAAUU
rnacentral:snoRNA from 1 species